CAGUAGCCGCGGGAAUACGGAGGGUGCAAGCGUUAAUCGGAAUUACUGGGCGUAAAGCGCACGCAGGCGGUCUGACAAGUCAGAUGUGAAAUCCCCGGGCUUAACCUGGGAACUGCAUUUGAAACUGUCAGGCUGGAGUCUUGUAGAGGGGGGUGGAAUUCCAGGUGUAGCGGUGAAAUGCGUAGAGAUCUGGAGGAAUACCGGUGGCGAAGGCGGCCCCCUGGACAAAGACUGAUGCUCAGGUGCGAAAGCGUGGGGAGCAAACAGGAUUAGAUACCCCUGUAGUCCCUGUCUCUUAUAA
rnacentral:rRNA from 1 species